AGAGUUUGAUCAUGGCUCAGGACGAACGCUGGCGGCGUGCUUAACACAUGCAAGUCGAACGGAAAGGUCUCUUCGGAGACACUCGAGUGGCGAACGGGUGAGUAACACGUGGGCAAUCUGCCCUGCACUUCGGGAUAAGCCUGGGAAACUGGGUCUAAUACCGGAUAGGACCUCAAGACGCAUGUCUUCUGGUGGAAAGCUUUUGCGGUGUGGGAUGGGCCCGCGGCCUAUCAGCUUGUUGGUGGGGUGAUGGCCUACCAAGGCGACGACGGGUAGCCGGCCUGAGAGGGUGUCCGGCCACACUGGGACUGAGAUACGGCCCAGACUCCUACGGGAGGCAGCAGUGGGGAAUAUUGCACAAUGGGCGCAAGCCUGAUGCAGCGACGCCGCGUGGGGGAUGACGGCCUUCGGGUUGUAAACCUCUUUCAGCAGGGACGAAGCGCAAGUGACGGUACCUGCAGAAGAAGCACCGGCCAACUACGUGCCAGCAGCCGUGGUAAUACGUAGGGUGCGAGCGUUGUCCGGAAUUACUGGGCGUAAAGAGCUCGUAGGUGGUUUGUCGCGUUGUUCGUGAAAUCUCACGGCUUAACUGUGAGCGUGCGGGCGAUACGGGCAGACUAGAGUACUGCAGGGGAGACUGGAAUUCCUGGUGUAGCGGUGGAAUGCGCAGAUAUCAGGAGGAACACCGGUGGCGAAGGCGGGUCUCUGGGCAGUAACUGACGCUGAGGAGCGAAAGCGUGGGGAGCGAACAGGAUUAGAUACCCCCGUAGUCC
rnacentral:rRNA from 1 species